UACGUAGGGUGCAAGCGUUGUCCGGAAUUAUUGGGCGUAAAGAGCUCGUAGGCGGUCUGUCGCGUCGGCUGUGAAAUCCCGAGGCUCAACCUCGGGUCUGCAGUCGAUACGGGCAAACUAGAGUAUUGCAGGAGAGACUGGAAUUCCUGGUGUAGCGGUGAAAUGCGCAGAUAUCAGGAGGAACACCGGUGGCGAAGGCGGGUCUCUGGGCAAUAACUGACGCUGAGGAGCGAAAGCGUGGGGAGCGAACAGG
rnacentral:rRNA from 1 species